UGCCGCCGCGUCGCUGUCGACUCCUGGAGACCACAGAGCCCUGUGGUUGUCUUUGGUAGAAUACAGGGAGGGGCUUGCCAUUGCCAUCUCCCGCGCAGUAUGAGAUGAUGCCUUUCAGCACCUUCCUGUAUCGCUGCUGCCCGCCCGAUAUAGGAGUUUCCCCUAGUCUGGGAAACCUACCAGCUGGGGAUUCGAACCGGGUCAUUUUGGGCCUGGGCCUAAAGGCCCUUGGAGGAACCCCCCCCCCAAGUUAAGCAUUAUCCCCAUACACUCACACCGUGCCACAUGCAGUGUUUUUAACAGGUAGGGUUUUGAGGGCACAAACAGCAACUGAACUCACAACGUAGUAAUAUAAAACCGGUAUAGUUAUGCAAAUAGGCAUUAGCAGAAACAUUUUCCCACACAACAUAUUCCCAUUUCACAUAUUUCUUUCCCCACUCCCGCCUCUUGUCUCUAGAGCAGAGUUCACAGCUCGGCCACCCAGUGGAGGUCACCCGCUGCCUGGCUGGUGGCUUGACAUAGCAACCACCGCACCCAGGACAGCCUAAAGAGAAUUUGGGGGCCCCAGGGGCUGUGGAGGCCCUGGACUUUGGCCUGGAUGUCCAGGGACAUCUUUCCCCGUUUCCCCUCCAUCCCAUCCCAAUCCCGAGCCCGACCUUCCCUCCCCUAGCCAGCCUUGGCACACUGCGCUGCCUGAGGGGAGAUGGGAAAAGAAAGAAGAGAGAGAGGGAAAGAGAAAGAAGAAGAGGGGGAGGAGAAGAAGAGAUACACACUGUUGCACCAAUAGAUGUACAGGACAUCUAUCUGAUUUUAUAUAUGGCCACUGCUGUGUGAUGAAACUGUCUGCUGUGUGAUGAAACUGUCCCCUGGAAGAACCAGUCUCCUCUGUGCAGGUUAGAAAGUACCAAACCAUCGUGUUUAUCCCAGAUUCCUCAAGCAAUUAUCAGGGAUGGUUCCGGUGGUGACAAUGGCUUGCCUUGAUCUUCUGUCUGAGUGCCUGCGAAGAAUCGUAGCACAACAUCCACUUGUGGAGUGGAGCAGAGCCGUGACCUGGAAGCAUUUGCAUCACAAUUGGUUAAACUGUUCAACUCAGGAUGCUUGUGUUACAGUGAGUGACUAUCUGCAUUGCCCUGAAUAACUGAGCCCUCUGUAUGCAUUUUUAAAUUUUGGUUUUAAUUUUAAUCUGUUUUCAAAUGUUUAUUUUAAUGUAAACCGCCCUGAGCCACUUUAGGAAGGGUGGUAUAUAAAUCAAAUAAAUAAAUGUGUCUAAAAUGCUUCCAGUCCACCCUCCGAUCCCAAAGCAGGCUCUUGCGACUCACUUGUCAGCAUUAAUCCUCACAGUCCAGAACAUAAUGUGCUACAAAUCGCAUGCUGGCCAAGAAGAUUCAGCACUUGGUUAAAUCGACUGCUAUGGCACAGCAUCCCCAUCAGAUGGCAGCAGAGUGAGGCAGGCCUGGGCAAGGUAUAAAGCCACAGGGAGGAACUUUCCUGCAUCCAGUGCUUGUCGCAGCAGGCAAUCCCUGAACACAAGACUUUGGAGCAUGUCAGUGCUGGAGGGCAUGGACUAGCUAGCACGCUCCUGUUUCCCAGUACCUGGAGACAGCGUAUCCAGAUUAGGACCACAUGAAGAAGGCUUAUAGUUUGUGCAUGUAUGUCAUCUGAUGAAGUGGACUGUAAUCCCUGAAACUUUAUGCUAUGCUACAUGUAAGUCUUAAAAGCUGCCACAAGACUUUUCAUUGCUUUUACUGCAACGGACUAAACGCAGCUAUCUCUCUGAAAGUGGUUAUGCAUAGAUCAUUGCAGAACGUGUGAAAAGGCCAUCAGGCUGCAGCAGAGAGAAACUGGACUUUGAUACAGCUGCUGCAUAGAUAAUCCACCAGGUGGGAGCCAACAGGACUGCUUAGUGUAUGUUUUGUCCACCAGAUGACAGCAGAGCAACAAAGGAUGCAACAGGAUUUAACAUCUGUGUCCAGGAGGUGGCAAUCAACAGUGUUGCAGAAUCUGCAAUUCCAUAAUCUGUGCAUCAGAUGACCAAAUAAAAAUAAGAAACUGUACCACAAGCAAUCUGUAAUAUUUGUCCACCAGAUGACCACAAGAGACCCACCCUCCCCUCUGCACCUUUCAAUUUCACUUCCACUUUGCAGGCUGCAUUGGACUUGAUGGGAUGAGCUAGUGCGAGAAGUGCUAGGUAUGGAUGCACCGUUACGACUCUGUUGGCAGCUCAAUGUGUGGGACUAAUGGAAAGAAAUAUGCCCUCUGAAAGCAAUCAAGGUAACAUUCAAAAGGCUGGAAUUGCAAAGAUGGCCCAUCAAAUGACAGAAAGAGCUUGUAAUUUCAUGAAGUUGUAUAUCCCUGCUCCAGGAGCCAGGGCUCUUCUAUCGCCUGUUCCAUGAUAUGCCCAGAAAACAGUAGAGAUAAAUUUCCACCAGGCGUGUGUGUGUGUGCGUGCGAGAGCGAGAGAGAGAGAGAACCAACAGAUGGCAACAGUCAGGGCUGCGAAAAUGACGGCUACACUCUACAAGAUCCCUACAGCAGAAAUCAAGUCCAAGCUCAGCAACUGCAUUGGCAACUCAAGUGAUACAAAUGUCCCGCUUUUUAGAGAUAUCAGCUGUGCACAAACAGAGAUUUCUGCCUUCAGCUGCAGAUGACUACUAUUAUGGAUACUGAGAUACCACUGUACACACAAGGCAAGUGUCCCUUUUUGAAGAGGUCUCAUACUGCUUACCCAUUACUUUGUAACCUCUGUGACUGCCGGGGGCAACCCAUGGAGAUAAUUCAGAAGCUUGAAAAUGACAGAGGAUGCCUACUUACCUCUUGGGGUCUGUCAGGAGGCCAGAACCUGCUUGACCCAAUUUGUUGCUUCUUUCUGGGUUCAGUUCAAUAGAAUUGAACCUGGUUUCAAUUUCAGGCCUUGAAAGGCUUGCCUGAUCUGGGACCUACAUACUUUGGAGGCAGUGUUCCCUCUAAGGUGUGCGCAUUUGUUCAUGUUUUUUGAUGUCUGCUCAGUUAAUUUUAGAUCCCGCUCAGGUUGAAUCAGGAAGGCCCCAUUCUGAACGCAUGUGCGCACAUACUGUCUUGAAAUUGCUGCUCAGAAAAAAAUUCAUUCCGCACAUGGAUGGAAAAAACUAGUACACUGUUUGGAGGUGCCAGACCCUCCACGGGCACUCCACAGACUGGAGCCUCCUCUGGCUCCUUUUACUUUGUGAGACCAACACUUGCUAUAAAAAGCAGAGCUUUUAUGCUACUACUCCAAAGACAUGGAUCUUAAAGAAGUAUGGGAUGCCCUUGCCUUCAAGCUUCUAAAAGGUGGGUGUGAAACCCACCAAUUCAGAAUGCUUUCGGCUUUUAUUUUUUACAUUUUAAUCAUACAGAUAUAUUUGUGUUUUGAGAUGACAGUGUGUGUGUGCGCACACGUGCACAAACACACACAUGAGUGCAAACGCAAGUGGUCUUCUGCUGUGGAUGUGUACAUGCAAUAAGUUGUAAUCAGGGCACUCCCAAGUAGAGUGUAGCAUCCAGAUGCCAAAAGAAAAAGAGUAACUUGCUAAUAUGGAGAAAUACGGAAGCAAUGUGAGACGAGAUACAGCAUAGCAGUGUGUCUGGUUCUUCUGACCAACAAGCAACAAGUAUCUCCAUAUGUCUCUGGCGCCUUCGAAGGUUACACCAGCCCAGGUCAACCAGGCAUUCCUUAAGAGUUAAAAUGAAACAGUUGCUGAGAAUACCUUGGGCAUCUGUCUUCACAUAAUGACCUCGUCAGAUUAAGAAACACUAGCCACUCUUGACCUCCCCAACCCCCUGCCCUUGAGCAGCCUUGCAGAGAAGGCAGGUCAAUGUUUCACGCACAGAAGUCCCCUUCCUCCUGGUUUAUUGUGAGCUCAGCUGCUGAAUGGUUUUGGUAACAUUCGAAAGAGAACAUUGCAACGGCUGAUUGACGACAUUGCAAGGAAAAAUGACAACUCUACAAUUUCCAGUGUGUCUAUAUUACACCCUAACUACACAGACAGGAGAAAUGGGGAUGGGGUGGUCUUUGUCCCAGAGCUCUGGAGGAGUGAAUUGCAGCUGCAGGGUCUCCCAGAGACCUCGUUGCUCUCCAUGGAUGCUCUCAAACACAGGACCCAUGGUAGGAUUCACAGGGGUGGGGGAAGAGCUGAGGAAGGGUCGGGAGGGAGAAGGGAGGGAUUGUUUGCAAGAAACUUUUACUCUUUAGAAUAAUUUACAAUCUGCUUAUUCACAAUUAUGUACAGUCCAAACCCGACCCAACAAACUCGUGGAACAGAACUGCAUACAAAAAUAAAAGCUAUACAGAAAUCAGAGAGUGUCAUGGUAGACUCUCUCAUACUUCUCUUUCUUUUUUUUUGAUUGAGGCUUCAAGAAAGAAACAUGGGGGGAAAAUACAAACAAAAUGGCUACAGUACUGUGUUCAGAGAUGGCCAUGUGCUCCUUGGGUUGG